GACGAACGCUGGCGGCGUGCUUAACACAUGCAAGUCGAACGGAAAGGCCCUGCUUUUGUGGGGUGCUCGAGUGGCGAACGGGUGAGUAACACGUGAGUAACCUGCCCUUGACUUUGGGAUAACUUCAGGAAACUGGGGCUAAUACCGGAUAGGAGCUCCUGCUGCAUGGUGGGGGUUGGAAAGUUUCGGCGGUUGGGGAUGGACUCGCGGCUUAUCAGCUUGUUGGUGGGGUAGUGGCUUACCAAGGCUUUGACGGGUAGCCGGCCUGAGAGGGGGACCGGCCACAAUGGGACUAAGAUACGGCCCAGACGGCUACGGGAGGCAGCAGUGGGGAAUAUUGCACAGUGGGCGGGAGCCUGAUGCAGCAACGCCGCGUGCGGGAUGACGGCCUUCGGGUUGUAAACCGCUUUCGCCUGUGACGAGGCGUGAGUGACGGUAAUGGGUAAAGAAGCACCGGCUAACUACGUG
rnacentral:rRNA from 1 species